AUGGCGAUCUCGGGUCCUCGCUUCGACUUCAUCGAUCGCCUCCGGCAAGCGACGUCCACAGAUCCGGCGCUCGUCACGCUGCGUGAGGAUAUCACGGCGGGUACGCGGCAGCAGUCGUGGGCUCUCUCCGACGGCCUCGUCACUUUCAACGGCCGCCUCUACAUUCCGCCGUCGCCCCCGCUACUCCAGGAGAUUCUCAGUGCCGUGCACGAUGAUGGGCAUGAAGGCGUCCUGCGCACCUUGCAUCGUCUCCGCCGCGACUUCCACGCACCUAACCUUCGCAAGACGGUGCAAGAGUACAUCCGCACUUGCAGUACUUGCCAGAGGUACAAGUCCGAGCACUUGCACCCCGCUGGGCUGUUGCUGCCGCUGCCGGUGCCCACGGGCGUGUGGACUGACGUCGGCAUCGACUUCGUGGAAGCGCUCCCUCGCGUGGGCGGGAAGUCUGUCAUCCUCACCGUGGUGGAUCGCUUCAGCAAGUAUUGCCACUUUGUGGCGCUGGCCCACCCGUACACGGCAGAAUCAGUGGCGCAGGUGUUCUUCGCUGAGAUUGUUCGUCUCCAUGGCGUGCCGCAGUCCAUGGUCUCUGACCGCGACCCCGUCUUCACCUCGGCUUUUUGGCGGGAGCUCAUGCGCCUCACCGGGACAAAGCUGCACAUGACGUCAGCGUUUCAUCCACAGUCGGAUGGCCAAACGGAGGCUGCUAACAAGAUCAUUGUGAUGUACCUACGUUGUCUCACCGGGGAUCGUCCCAGGCAGUGGCUCCGGUGGCUUCCCUGGGCCAAGUACAUCUACAACACCGCCUACCAGACAGCGACCCAAGAAACUCCGUUCAAGCUUGUGUAUGGUCGUGACCCUCCCACUAUUAGCUCUUACGAUCCGGGCGACACGAGGGUAGCCGCAGUGGCCAGGAGCAUGGCGGAGCGCGACGAGCUUCUCGAGGACGUCCGCUAUCGUCUACAACAGGCACAGGCGGUCUACAAGUCCUACUACGACAGACGCCAUCGGGACAUUCGGCAUGACGUGGGCGAUUGGGUCUGGCUUCGCCUUCGCCAGCGCGCCGCGUCCUCUCUCAACUUGCCAACCAGGGGCAAGCUGAAGCCACGCUUCUAUGGGCCGUACCGCAUUUCAGAGGUCGUCAACGACGUGGCUUACCGCCUUGAGCUUCUGGCACGCUCGCGCCUCCAUGACGUGUUCCACGUGGGCCUCCUCAAGAAGUUCUUCGGCACGCCUCCAACUGCACCGCCGGGUUUGCCUCCGAUCCACAACGGAGCGGCUGUUCCAGAACCGGAGCGCGUGACUCGUGCGCGCCUAGCACGCGGCGUUCGCCAGCUACUCGUCCACUGGAAGGGUGAAGCAGCAUCAUCAGCUACAUGGGAGGAUCUUGACAGUUUCGUCGAGCGCUACCCCGCUUUUCAGCUCGAGGACGAGCUGCUCGUCGAGGGGGGGAGAGAUGUCAUGUGGGGCACGUCCUACAGGCGUGGGCCACGCGGCCAGGAGCAGCAGCCGUCG
rnacentral:rRNA from 1 species